AGGUCAUGUUUAGGACAAUUCCUUAACAACCCUUUGUAACGUUCCCAAGCUUCGUAAAGUGACUCCCCCGGGUUUUGCUCAAAACUGGCUAUUACCUUUUUGAGUUU